AGACCCGAAACCCGGUGAUCUAGCCAUGGGCAGGUUGAAGGUUGGGUAACACUAACUGGAGGACCGAACCGACUAAUGUUGAAAAAUUAGCGGAUGACUUGUGGCUGGGGGUGAAAGGCCAAUCAAACCGGGAGAUAGCUGGUUCUCCCCGAAAGCUAUUUAGGUAGCGCCUCGUGAAUUCAUCUCCGGGGGUAGAGCACUGUUUCGGCAAGGGGGUCAUCCCGACUUACCAACCCGAUGCAAACUGCGAAUACCGGAGAAUGUUAUCACGGGAGACACACGGCGGGUGCUAACGUCCGUCGUGAAGAGGGAAACAACCCAGACCGCCAGCUAAGGUCCCAAAGUCAUGGUUAAGUGGGAAACGAUGUGGGAAGGCCCAGACAGCCAGGAUGUUGGCUUAGAAGCAGCCAUCAUUUAAAGAAAGCGUAAUAGCUCACUGGUCGAGUCGGCCUGCGCGGAAGAUGUAACGGGGCUAAACCAUGCACCGAAGCUGCGGCAGCGACACUGUGUGUUGUUGGGUAGGGGAGCGUUCUGUAAGCCUGUGAAGGUGUGCUGUGAGGCAUGCUGGAGGUAUCAGAAGUGCGAAUGCUGACAUAAGUAACGAUAAAGCGGGUGAAAAGCCCGCUCGCCGGAAGACCAAGGGUUCCUGUCCAACGUUAAUCGGGGCAGGGUGAGUCGACCCCUAAGGCGAGGCCGAAAGGCGUAGUCGAUGGGAAACAGGUUAAUAUUCCUGUACUUGGUGUUACUGCGAAGGGGGGACGGAGAAGGCUAUGUUGGCCGGGCGACGGUUGUCCCGGUUUAAGCGUGUAGGCUGGUUUUCCAGGCAAAUCCGGAAAAUCAAGGCUGAGGCGUGAUGACGAGGCACUACGGUGCUGAAGCAACAAAUGCCCUGCUUCCAGGAAAAGCCUCUAAGCAUCAGGUAACAUCAAAUCGUACCCCAAACCGACACAGGUGGUCAGGUAGAGAAUACCAAGGCGCUUGAGAGAACUCGGGUGAAGGAACUAGGCAAAAUGGUGCCGUAACUUCGGGAGAAGGCACGCUGAUAUGUAGGUGAAGUCCCUCGCGGAUGGAGCUGAAAUCAGUCGAAGAUACCAGCUGGCUGCAACUGUUUAUUAAAAACACAGCACUGUGCAAACACGAAAGUGGACGUAUACGGUGUGACGCCUGCCCGGUGCCGGAAGGUUAAUUGAUGGGGUCAGCGCA
rnacentral:rRNA from 1 species